AUACGUAGGGUGCGAGCGUUGUCCGGAAUUACUGGGCGUAAAGAGCUCGUAGGUGGUUUGUCGCGUCGUCUGUGAAAUCCCGGGGCUUAACUCCGGGCGUGCAGGCGAUACGGGCAUAACUUGAGUACUGUAGGGGAGACUGGAAUUCCUGGUGUAGCGGUGGAAUGCGGAGGUAUCAGGAGGAACACCGGGGGCGAAGGGGGGUUUCUGGGCGGUAACUGACGCGGAGGAGCGAAAGAAUGGGUGGGGAACUGGAGUAGAUACCCUGGUAGCCCAUGCCGUAAACGGUGGGCGCUAGGUGUAGGGGUCUUCCACGACUUCUGUGCCGUAGCUAACGCAUUAAGCGCCCCGCCUGGGGAGUACGGCCGCAAGGCUAAAACUCAAAUGAAUUGACGGGG
rnacentral:rRNA from 1 species